UGAAAUCCUGUAAUCCCGGGAGGACCACCUGUGGCGAAGGCGCUCGGCUGGAACGGGUCCGACGGUGAGGGACGAAGGCCUGGGGAGCGAACCGGAUUAGAUACCCGGGUAGUCCAGGCUGUAAACGAUGCGGGCUAGGUGUCACCGGAGCUACGAGCUCCGGUGGUGCCGGAGGGAAGCCGUUAAGCCCGCCGCCUGGGAAGUACGGCCGCAAGGCUGAAACUUAAAGGAAUUGGCGUGGGAGCACUACAACGGGUGGAGCCUGCGGUUUAAUUGGAUUCAACGCCGGGAAGCUUACCGGGGGAGACAGCGGGAUGAAGGUCGGGCUGAAGACCUUACCAGACUAGCUGAGAGGUGGUGCAUGGCCGCCGUCAGUUCGUACUGUGGAGCAUCCUGUUAAGUCAGGCAACGAGCGAGACCCGCGCCCUCAGUUGCCAGCGGGUCCCUUCCGGGACGCCGGGCACACUGAGGGGACUGCCGGCGCUAAGCCGGAGGAAGGUGCGGGCAACGGCAGGUCCGUAUGCCCCGAAUCCCCCGGGCUACACGCGGGCUACAAUGGCCGGGACAAUGGGUGCCGACCCCGAAAGGGGUGGGUAAUCUCCUAAACCCGGUCUAACCUGGGAUCGAGGCUGCAACUCGCCCUCGUGAACCUGGAAUCCGUAGUAAUCGCGUCUCAAAA
rnacentral:rRNA from 1 species